GCCGGCGUAGCUCAGUUGGUAGAGCAGCUGACUUGUAAUCAGCAGGUCGCCGGUUCGAGUCCGGCCGCCGGCUCCA
rnacentral:tRNA from 1 species